rnacentral:rRNA from 1 species
AUUGAACGCUGGCGGCAGGCCUAACACAUGCAAGUCGAGCGGAAGACGGGAGCUUGCUCCUUGAUUCAGCGGCGGAUGGGCGAGUAAUGCCUAGGUAUAUGCCUGGUAGUGGGGGACAGCGUUACGACAGGAACGCUAAUACCGCAUACGUGCUAAGGGAGAAAGCAGGGGAACUUCGGGCCGUGCGCUAUCAGAUGAGCCUAGGUCGGAUUAGCUAGUUGGUGGGGUAAUGGCUCACCAAGGCGACGAUCCGUAACUGGUCUGAGAGGAUGAUCAGGCACACUGGAACUGAGACACGGUCCAGACUCCUACGGGAGGCAGCAGUGGGGAAUAUUGGACAAUGGGCGAAAGCCUGAUCCAGCCAUGCCGCGUGUGUGAAGAAGGUCUUCGGAUUGUAAAGCACUUUAAGUUGGGAGGAAGGGCAGUAAGCUAAUACCUUGCUGUUUUGACGUUACCGACAGAAUAAGCACCGGCUAACUCUGUGCCAGCCGCCGCCGUAAGAC